AUUGAACGCUGGCGGCAGGCCUAACACAUGCAAGUCGAGCGGAGCGGCGGACGGGUGAGUAAUUCCUAGGUAUCUGCCUGGCCGUGGGGGCUAGGGUCCGGUCACGGGCGCUAAUACCGCAUACUAUCUGCUGACCCUAGGUCGGAUUAGCUAGUUGGUGUGGUAAGGGCAUACCAAGGCGACGAUCCAUAGCUGGUCUGAGAGGAUGAUCAGUCACACUGGAACUGAGACACGGUCCAGACUCCUACGGGAGGCAGCAGUGGGGAAUAUUCGGCAAUGGGCGAAAGCCUGAUGCAGCCACGCCGCGUGAGUGAAGAAGGUCUUCGGAUUGUAAAGCUCUUUAAGUAGGGAGGCGUUACCUACACAGAAAGCACCGGCUAACUUCGUGCCAGCAGCCGCGGUAAUUC
rnacentral:rRNA from 1 species